UACAGAGGGUGCGAGCGUUGUUCGGAAUUACUGGGCGUAAAGGGCGCGUAGGCGGCCUGUUAAGUCGGACGUGAAAUCCCUCGGCUCAACCGGGGAACUGCGUCCGAUACUGGCGGGCUUGAAUUCGGGAGAGGGAUGUGGAAUUCCAGGUGUAGCGGUGAAAUGCGUAGAUAUCUGGAGGAACACCGGUGGCGAAGGCGGCAUCCUGGACCGACAUUGACGCUGAGGCGCGAAAGCGUGGGGAGCAAACAGG
rnacentral:rRNA from 1 species